AUCUGGUUGGCUGAGCUUUCACUUCUGUCCACCAGGGAGCACCUCUGCCAGCAGUGCUCGAGGAAAUUACACCAGCAAGAAAGGAGUUGGUAUCUCCAAACUGCCUCAGCUGUUCCUUCGCUGACAAAGUGAUCAACCUUAUUGCAAUUGAGGACAAACAGGAUCAAAACUAUGCUUCAGUUCAUCUCCCUCAGAUGUACUGUACACCUCCUCUGACAUAAAGAUUUGCAAAGAGAUCCCUCCUUGUGCCUUUGUACAGUUACCAUGACCACCCUUCAAGAAGAAAAAAAUGGAUUCUAUCGUGUUUGUACAUGCCUUAGCUGUAGCUCAUUCUAUUGCUGGUGUUGUUCUCUCCUGUGCCUGUACUGUGGCUUAGGGUCAAUCUGCAAGUAUCUAUUCAUGCUUUCCUUUUGAUGUCACACAAAAUUUUGGUUGGCUGUGUAAAGGUAGAAAUCCUAGGAUGAUCCCUGUACAGGCAGAUUGUACAGGGUGGGGGGGCCUGUAUAUGGACAGGGUGGGGGGACCUGGCUUGAAUUCCAUAGAAAUUAAAGAAGGGAGGAACCCUUACUUCAGAGGUGGAAGUGGGGAGUGAUUUACCAGGUAUAGGCAGGGCUUGGGAGGAGUUUGGUAGAAUUGGGGAAAGGCUUUCACUUAUCAGUUGCACAUUGAAAAGGAAGAAACUCCUGGAAUUCCAGACCUCAAACCUUCAGAUAAGAAGCUGGACCAAUCAUUACAAAGAAAAACUUAUUCAAACAGACUUGACUAUACACUGCGCAUGUCCAAGAAGAAGUGAAAAACAAGAAAACAUUCAAGGAAUUAGCAUAGGACAACCCACUGUCUAGAGUGAGUUAGCACUACUUGCUUAGCGGAGAAAUGAGUGUGAAUUUUGUGUGGUAUAAAUAUGAUUGCUUGAGAGACACUAGUUGUGCAAUUGGAGUGGCACAAGCCUCACCUUCCCUCCCCCCCCAUUGCUCUGGUGUAUACACCUUAAGUAAACUACCUUACAUUCUGACUCUUGUGAGUCUGAGUGCUGUUCCACAGGUCAAGGCUUAGAAAGUGGCAUGGGUUUUUUACCUCUAAAGAUUCCAAUAUUAAGAACAUUUAUUAAGUGAAAGCUCUUUCACAAGCUUUUCUACCAUCUUUAAAAUGUAAGGACUUUGUUACUUAUUAUGAUGAUGCCACAGAAGGAAGUGACCAGACUACUCUUUCUGUCAGGACCAUUGUCUCUCUGAAUCUGAUCACAUUCUCUUUCUCAAUUUUUACUGUUGCAAAACAAUGCACUUGCAAUUGAAAAGGACUCUCGAAUCCUCUGUGGCUGCCAAUAAAACCUAGAUUCAUUAUGGUAUUAUCUGAAUGUCUGGCUGGUAUCAGCUCUCUAUUUUACCCUACCUUGCUUCUGUGUAACACUCUGUGGUGCAUGCUGGCAAAAGUGGACUGAUUUUAACAAAAAGAAAGUGUGGUUUACUCCAAACCUUUCUGUGAAGCACAGAACUUUUGUAGUACCUGUUCCAUCUGCCUGGCCAAUAGCAUUGUUUAGCAUAUUAAAAGAACUCUUGUAGCACGUUCCAUACCUUGAGGACCUCUUGUUAACAUACAGACAGAUUUCAUCUGAAUGCUUAAAUGUUCUUACCUAGAAUAUGUACUUGUAAUUUUUGACAUGUUCUCAGGUUGAGAUAAAAUGAGGUUUCUUUCUGCUAACAUUCUGAUGCCUCUGCAGCUGCCAUCAAACUUUUAGAGAGCCUUAAUACUUCAUAUUUAUAUUUAUUAUAUUAAUUCAUUUGUUUUACUACUUAAUAAUUUGGUGUUUCUCUUACUUUAUGUAGUGAUUGAGUCUUCCAUUUCAUGAGCCAAGUGAUUAAGAAUAAUUACAAUGCUUUAGUCAUUAAUCAGCAUUUGCACAGCACCUACCAUCUUCAAUCCAGAGAUCCAGAGGUGCAGUAAAAAGAAGAAAAUCCAGCUUGACAUGGAAAUCAGCUGAAAUAUAUAUAUAUAUUUAAAAAAAGAACUGAAAAGGACAGAUGCACUGCUGCUAGCAUUGAUGCAUAUGUGAAGUACAGCAAAUGGGAAACAUCAUCUCUUUCCUCACAAAAUUCCUUACUCUACACCUGAAGCAUUGCAUAAACUUGACCUAUGAUUUAGUAUUAAACACUGUGGAGUCUAGAUGAAACAUGUAAGAAAAAUCUGUCCAUUCACAAGUAAAGGCAGCUUUUCCAGGGCCUGUCUGCAAAAUGUCACUUUCUGAAACCAGGAGACUGGGUCAAGAUGCCCCAAGAGGCACCGACAAAAAACUCUCUCUGUCCCAGGUAGAUAGAAAGAACUACAUCAGGUACUUGUAAUCAUCAACUGCCACCACGUAUGAUAUGCCAUUGGGUACAUGCAUCUCAGCUAAAAAGAACAGUGCAGAGAAAAGUUCUGCCUUCAGUAAACUUAACACAGAUUUUGGAUCCUAAACCUUCUUAUCUGAAUUUGAAUGGGCUGUGGUCACAAAGACAAAGGCCAAUUAUACAAUCUCCAACCAAGCAAAUUAGAUUCAUUUUGAAUGGCUUAUUUGA